AACGAACGCUGGCGGCAUGCCUAACACAUGCAAGUCGAACGAAGUCUUCGGACUUAGUGGCGCACGGGUGCGUAACGCGUGGGAAUCUGCCCUUGGGUGCGGAAUAACUUCUCGAAAGGGAUGCUAAUACCGCAUAAUGUCGUAAGACCAAAGAUUUAUCGCCCAAGGAUGAGCCCACGUAAGAUUAGCUAGUUGGUGGGGUAAAAGCCUACCAAGGCGACGAUCUUUAGCUGGUCUGAGAGGAUGAUCAGCCACACUGGGACUGAGACACGGCCCAGACUCCUACGGGAGGCAGCAGUGGGGAAUAUUGGACAAUGGCGAAAGCCUGAUCCAGCAAUGCCGCGUGAGUGAUGAAGGCCCUACGGGUUGGUUAAAGGACUCUUUUUACCUACGGGAGUGAUAAUGACAGUACCUGGAGAAUAAGACUCCGG
rnacentral:rRNA from 1 species